rnacentral:sRNA from 1 species
GUUGGAUGUGGUGGCACAUGCCUAUAAUCCCAGCUACUUGGGAGGCAGAGGCAGGUGGAUCACAAGUUUGAGGCCAGCCUUGGCAACUAGUGAAAUCCUGUCUCAA